rnacentral:lncRNA from 1 species
CGGAGGAGAACGGAUUUUGGAUGGUUUUUUAAUACUUUUUUUACCAUGUGAUGAAAUGGUUGCCUAAAGCUGCUGGCUGCAUUUAAUUAUUUUUAUUUCAAUUUUAUUUUUUUAAAUGUAGUUACUUCAUAGACACAGAUAUUUUCCAACAUCAACUCCUGAGUGGUAUAAUAUAGAAUGCUUCAUUAGCAAUGGAAAUGGGCUUAAGUUUGCAGCAGGAAUUUUCUGACUGUUUUUAGAUGUGGAAGAAGCUAGCAGCAAGAUCAUAGAACCUCUCCCUCCCCGCCAGAGAACGUCAGAACAAGUAAAAAAUUUCUAUUUAAUCCACAAAUUUCACAUAAAAGCUAUCCUCGUUUACUGGUGCUGCUUUUACUUCACUAAGGUCUCCCUAACACUUGUUCUUCCUUCUGCUUUUCUUUACUUCAUGCUGCCAUGUAAGAAAACAAAAAUGCCUCAGCUGGAAGGAGGAUGUGGGUGCUGCUUGAGUAUGUGUACUGAAUUCAACCCAAUGUCUGGAAAACAUGGCGAGAUCACCACCAGCAAUGCAACUGCGAAACCUGACAGAAUUCCUUUCCUGGCCACGCCCACUGCUCAUUACCACACACGUGUUUGAGCAUCAAGUAUCUGCUCAUUCAUACUUAUGCCAAAAGUCGCAGCUCAUCCCAGGUGGCUCAGCUAAAAGUGCAUGUGUUCAGUCAGCAAAUAUUGGUUGAAUGCCUGGUGUGUGCCAUUCACUGUGCCAUGCACAGAGGACAUAUUGUGAAGAUGACUGUCAUAGGUCCAUGACAUUGAAUCCUCUGCAGAGGUGAGAAGAGUAUUUGGAGAGCUGAAUCAGGAACUUUUUUUUGGUUGCUGAUGUUACAAUUAAAAAAAAAAAAGCUGUAUAUUUCCCAUAGUUUACACCCUGCAGGUGUAAAAGCCUUUCCUAUGAGAGAGGAUGGUUGCAUCCCCCUGAUGCAAUUCUCUCUGGCUGACAGUAUGUUUACUAAGAAUGCUAUCUUUAGGGCAUUCUAAAGAAAGGCAAACUACAGUACCAGAGAACACAGCAGCUGGGACGUGUGCAUGAGCCUCCAACUCCAGUCUGAAGGGUGAAGCUGAAGCCUCGGCCACAGCUGGAAGAAUGGGGAGCAGAACACUGGCAACGGGCAAAAUGGUUAUUCAUUUCCUCUCUUGUGAUCUUUCAUAUUUCAUUUUUGUGAAUCUCAAUACAUAGUUGAGACUUUUCCGAUUCACAAUCAACCCUGAUUAUCUUUCUCCUCUCUCCACUUUUCCCUUUUUAGUUUCUUGGAAACUGUUAGAGGAAGAAGAUUAAAAACUAUCUGGCAUGGAA